rnacentral:lncRNA from 1 species
ACGCGCCGCCGCCUGGAGCCCGGGAGCUGCGCACCGCGUGCGAGCGCGGCCGGGACCGACGGGUGACGCGGCGGGAGGAGACGCGGCGGGAGGAGGCGAAGCUGGCGACGCCAAAGGGAGCCCAGAGCUACGCCCAGGGGUGAGGCGAGGGCCGCCUGCGCCGCUGGAUGGAGAGGGUAGCAGAGCGCGCGGCAAGGAGGCCGGGUCCGGAGGUGCCCACGUGCACGAACCCGAGUGAAACUUUCCGAAAUUCACUAUCCGAGUCUAGGCGCCGACACAGAAGGUGGAGCAGGGAGGCGUCGGCUGUGCCCGCCCCUGCGCCGCAGAAACGCCCCCUCGGCUACGGGUUUGGGAAGACUGGGAGACAGCUGCCUCGUGCUCUAGCAGCCCGCCCCCUGGGCGCCUUUCCCUUCUCAGGACCAAACGACGGUGCCAUGGGAGGCUCUUCAACCUGUGAGCCAAACAUUUGACCUUGGACGACAGCAAAGUUUAGCCACAGAUUAUCCUUGUAGAGCUGCAAGACCUCAAGAAAGCCGGGUAACUCGAGAGUAUGACCCAGAUGAAUUCGGGAGAUGGAUGAAUGCUGUCGUCGAUGGGGGCGGGCUUUAGGCAUCUCACAUGUUGCAUGCUACGGUGGACCUCUGAGCUUUUUGCUGCCCCCUUAGAUUGGGAAAGGAAUAUAAGAGGAAAGAGAGACUGCCUGAUGAUUUCUGUCGUCAAGCCCUAAAGCCUAACAGAUAACAGUGGCAAACGACACGUGGGUUCCAGAAUACCAGUGAUGUUCAUGUGCAUUUCUGAGUGCGUA